GAUGAACGCUGGCGGCGUGCCUAAUACAUGCAAGUCGAGCGAACGGACGAGAAGCUUGCUUCUCUGAUGUUAGCGGCGGACGGGUGAGUAACACGUGGAUAACCUACCUAUAAGACUGGGAUAACUUCGGGAAACCGGAGCUAAUACCGGAUAAUAUUUUGAACCGCAUGGUUCAAAAGUGAAAGACGGUCUUGCUGUCACUUAUAGAUGGAUCCGCACUGCAUUAGCUAGUUGGUAAGGUAACGGCUUACCAAGGCAACGAUGCAUAGCCGACCUGAGAGGGUGAUCGGCCACACUGGAACGGAGACACGGUCCAGACUCCUAAGGGAGGCAGCAGUAGGGAAUCUUCCGCAAUGGGCGAAAGCCUGACGGAGCAACGCCGCGUGAGUGAUGAAGGUCUUCGGAUCGUAAAACUCUGUUAUUAGGGAAGAACAGAUGUGUAAGUAACUGUGCACAUCUUGACGGUACCUAAUCAGAAAGCCACGGCUAACUACGUG
rnacentral:rRNA from 1 species